AGAACCGACUCGAGUUGGGGCAAAGGACGAAAAUCAGAGGCAAAAUGGCCGAAGCAAAGCAAGAAACCAAAUGGCGAAGUCGGUGAUAGGUGUAGUAUCUCAGUCUUCGCUUCUUCUUAUAGAGCCUUCAAAGUUUGGAUUUCGAACUUACGCUACUCCAUCGACGUCCCUGCGGCUUCAGCAAUCUUCGAGCGAGAAGGGAAACUACCGAUUCGUUGUUUUCUCUGAUAAGCAUUUGAAGCCUGUUGUUGCUGCUAGUGUCGUCUAUUCGGGUCUCGAAUCGUCUACGCUUGUUACUGAUGACGUUGACUUGUCGACAGAAGGCAUCGAGAUUGAACCGGAUUCUGGAGGCGGCGGUGACGGUUACCGGGAUAUAAGAGGUAGCAGUGGAGGGGGUGGUCGAGGCGGCGGUGGUAAUAACGGAGGACAAGGUGGUGGUGGUGGUGGUGAUUCAAAGAACGAAGGAGAGGGAGGAUCGUUGGAGGUAGUGGCGGUGAGAAGAAGAAGAUGGCGUUGUCGAUGUCUCAGAAGCUGAGUCUUGGUUACGCUGCCCUUGUUGGAAUGGGUGGUCUUAUGGGCUAUUUGAAGAGUGGUAGCCAGAAAUCACUUUUGGCUGGAGGACUGUCUGCUUCAAUACUGUUUUAUGUUCACACACAGCUUCCUACAAAUCCUGUUUAUGCCUCGUCUGUAGGGCUUGGUAAGAGACACUAUGUUCAUAAAAUUUUUCUUAUUACUACUGCAAGUUCCUAUAUUUUGUUUGCUAGAAAUGUUGCCUAUGAAUGUGCAUUGACUGGCUGCAGAAUUUUGUUUAUUCUCCAUGAUUUUCUCUUUUUUAAACUUUGUGCUUUUCUUUUCAUUAAGAUUUUCCCUGUUGUACUUUCUAUUUUGUCAUCUGGACUUUUCUAGAGGUUUGGUCUUUGAAAAUUGUUCACCUAUAAUCUCUCGGUAAUGAGAUGAAUGUAUUCUUACACAUUUAAUUAUGAUUGAUGAAAGCCCUCAUGAUGGAUUUCUUUAUUGAAAAUUUUUUUAUUAGGUUUUCAUUUUAACUUGUGAUGUUUUGGUUGUUGAAUACUAAUUCGUAGAGAGUUAAAUGUGAUUACACUUAGCGCCACAAAUCUUGGUGUAAGCGCACGAACAUGGCUGCUUUCUCACCUCACCCUCAACACAUUAACUGCUUUAAUAUCUUCGAAUUUCCAGGUGUGUCUUCUAUAC
rnacentral:misc_RNA from 1 species